AACCCGAUCCAACUUGAUCGUU
rnacentral:miRNA from 1 species